rnacentral:snRNA from 1 species
UUCAAGUGCACCAACUCA